CUUCUGGAUCAACAAGCAGAUCCUCCUCUCUGAGAAUGACAGUGCCUCCCACCUCCACUGAGCAAGAGGAAGAGCCCAAAUCCUGGAGCAGCUACAUCAAGGGCAAAGAACCAAGCAGAAUCGGGGAGAGGGCUGAGGUUUCCCCACGCAAUGUGGCCACUGUCUCCCCCGGUCAUCUAGUCAUCUAGGUUACACCCUGCCUGAGCCUGUUACAGCUCCCUGAGAAUUUAUUAUCUCCAUCAGAGGAAUGCCACAAAGAAUUGCAAGUCAUAAAAUAAGAAGAGCCUUAAGGACUAUCGUCCACCUCUCUCCCACAUAGAUUGAGCAACUCAGACAGGUAACAUACCUGUCUCAGUUUUUGAUCCCAAGUUUGAGACAGUGCUGAUUUAACAUCGAUGGGUCCUUUCCUGCAGACCUGUUUGACUCUAUUUCUUAGUUGGCAUCUUUAUGAACAUUAUUUUUGUAAUACAUAUUUUA